GAUGAACGCUGGCGGCGUGCCUAAUACAUGCAAGUCGAGCGAACGGACGAGAAGCUUGCUUCUCUGAUGUUAGCGGCGGACGGGUGAGUAACACGUGGAUAACCUACCUAUAAGACUGGGAUAACUUCGGGAAACCGGAGCUAAUACCGGAUAAUAUUUUGAACCGCAUGGUUCAAAAGUGAAAGACGGUCUUGCUGUCACUUAUAGAUGGAUCCGCGCUGCAUUAGCUAGUUGGUAAGGUAACGGCUUACCAAGGCAACGAUGCAUAGCCGACCUGAGAGGGUGAUCGGCACAACUGGAGAGGAGACCCGGUCCGGACUCCGACGGGGGGCAGCAGGAGGGAUUCGUCCGCAAGGGGCGAAAGCCUGACGGAGCAACGCCGCGUGAGUAAUGAAGGUCUUCGGAUCGUAAAACUCUGUUAUUGGGGAAGAACAUAUGUGUAAGUAACUGUGCACAUCUGGACGGUACCUAAUCAGAAAGCCACGGCUAACUAC
rnacentral:rRNA from 1 species